rnacentral:sRNA from 1 species
UUCGACAAGCACUUCGAUGAACUAUACCC